rnacentral:rRNA from 1 species
UACGUAGGGAGCAAGCGUUGUCCGGAAUCAUUGGGCGUAAAGCGCGUGUAGGCGGCCCGAAAAGUCUGGUGUGAAAACUUGAGGCUCAACCUCAAGCUGUCGCUGGAUACUGUCGGGCUUGAAUCCGGAAGAGGAGUGUGGAAUUCCUGGUGUAGCGGUGGAAUGCGCAGAUAUCAGGAGGAACACCAAUGGCGAAGGCAGCACUCUGGUACGUGAUUGACGCUGAGACGCGAAAAGCGUGGGGGAGCAAACAGG